UUUCAAAUAUAUUCACUCGACGCUGAGGACAUCUCUGUUGGUAGGUGCUGUUAUUUCAUUUUUUUCAAGGGAAGAAAAUAAAAUUUGAAACAGUUUCCACUCAGAAUGCCACCCACUAACGAACGGUGGGGUCUGAAACCUGGGCUUCCGACUUGCUGAGCAGCGCUCUCCACCGUAAUACGGCUGCCUGCGGAACCGGCUGACCGGAAGUGUGGCUGUGGGUGGUUUACCGCCAGACUGUGAUGGUGGCGGGGCACGGCUGCGUGACUGCUCAACUCAGCUGUACUUCUCACCACGUGGCAAAGGAUGGACCAAAGGCUGGGAGCAACUGGGAGUGUCUGGGGUGAGAGCUGAAUGUAGGCUCCAACAGGAAGACGGCAUUGAAGCCUGGUUGCUUGUUACUACUCAGAAUGCCAUCUACAAAAGGAAAUUAUGUAAAAAGCAAUAAAGAACCCCUUUUGUUCUUGCAGGAGUCAGUGUUUCAUAACUCUUUCUGUGAUAUCGUCUGUAUAAGUUGAACCUCUAAAGAACCUUAUCUAAGUUGCCACGACCUUACUCAUUACCCUCAAGAAAGAUGAACAAUUUAAAGGGGGAAAAAAGGAAGUGAAAAAAAUGGCGGAUACGAGGCAGAACUAACCUGCAGCUUCCACUCGAAGGGACAGAGCAGAGUGUGGAGACCCACAACUGGAACUUUUUCUCCAAGAACUACCACAGGAACAUACCAAGAAAGCCAAGAGAAUCCACAGAACCUUUGGAGGAAGUGGUUUGUCACUGCAGGCUCUGUGGGACAGCUGAGGAACUGGUCACAAAGAAAAGGAAACAGGAAUUCUGACCUGACCUCCACAAAUGCUCAAAUGCCAUCACCUGCUAUUUUGACACCAAUUUGUCAAGUAGUUCUCAACCUAAAAGUGCAUCACAAUUGCCUGGGUUGCACUUUAUAAAGGAGAUUCAGAAUAGGUUUUGACUGAGCAAGUCUGGGGUAGGGCCUAGAAGUCUGCAAUUUUAGUAACAACCAGGAAUAGUGUUGAUGCAUGUGGUAUCUGAACUAGACUUUUGGAAACAUCAGCCCAGCACAGUGGUUCACAAACCUGAACAUGCAUGAGAACCACUUGACUGGCUUGUUAAAAACCCAGAUUACUGAGUCCAAUCUCCAGAGUUUCUCAUUCAGUAGGUCAGAGGUAGGGCCCAGGAAUUUGCAUUUCUAGCAAGUUCCCAGGUGAUCUUGCUGCUGCUGCUGACAGGGGCCAUGCUUUGAGAACCAAUGUCCUACUAAAACCCAGAAAGAAUGCCUCUUUAAAGCACUGUCGACUAAGAAGGUGGGAUACUCCUUGAGAAAAGAAAAAAGCAAAUGGACACUUACUGAGUAUCUGCUAGGAGAAGGUAACUGGAACAGUGAAAUCAUAUUUAUUUUCCUGGUCACUAUUUUUUUAAUGUUUUUUGCAAAUGAGAAAUCCAAAGGUUGGACCAGUUAUGUGACAUCUUUAAAGGUCACAUAGCCAACUAAAAUGUUUUAAACUAUUUUUUUCUUUGAGUUUUUGUAGUUGUACAUGCAGCAAUUUCAGGUAGCUUUUUGCCCAGUGAGGUUGCUUUUUAUUGCUUCCCAACUCAGCGUAGACUUACCUAGUUUUGCCCUGUGGAAGGAAAAUGGCAUUCCUGCCACACAUUCUGUCUGAUAGAGGAACAUCUCUUCUGGAAAGAUGGCUGGAUUUCCUCGCUUACAUUUACCAUUGCAGGGGCCAAGAAGUUUAUCCAGAAGGAGAAACCAUCAUACAAUUAGCAAGUCAAGUCAUAAGGCACUGAUUUCAUUUGUUUAUUUAUUUAUUCAUUUAUUAGUUCAGUUAAAUAUUUACUGAGAACAACUGUAUUUGCUGGGUAUUGUGCAAGGCACUAAUAAUAACAGAAAGACUCCUGGAGUGAAGCCAGGAAAUCAGAACUGUGUGCUGUCUUCUCCAUGUGCAAGCUUUGCUCCUGGGUAAGUCCCUUCAGCUUUUGGGGUGUCAAUCAUCUCCCUAUUAGCAAAUGCAGGGAGGGAGAUGAGCCUUGGUGAUUUCCAAGGCUCCUUUAUUUUUGUACACUCCUGAGUUUAUAGUUCAACUCUCACAAUGUACCUAACCUUUGUGCUGUGGAGUGAGUGUGUGGAAGGAAAGCUUGGGGGAUGUAGAAAGAACAAGAGGCAGAAGGAAGAGUCCUUGUCUUUGGAAACAGAGAAGAUCAAAAUAUGCACAUAUGACAUCACUGGAGAAACUUACAAUUCAGCAUCUAACCCCAAAGGAGCUCAGGUAGUACAGCUUCUUAUGGGAGGAGCGGUCAAGGAUGGGGGAAUAUAAAUGAGGGAGUGAGGAAUGGUGAGGGGUGGACUAAAGGAAUGGAGAGAGGAGUGAAUUCAGCAAAUGUGACCUCAGAAGCAGAAACUUUUCUGAUUUCACUCCCCUUCACAGGCCAGCGUCCUCUUUCCUGUGUUGGUCACAUCCUCAAAUGCCUUUGGGGCUGGAUGAACAGUCGGCUUGUGGGUCCUGAAAACUCAAGACAAUGGAACAAUGCCAAGCAGUAAGAUAUGGAUACAAUGAGUAAAAUCUAAAGAUUGGUUCCUUUAAGACAAAGGGAUCAACAUGUAAUAACUUGGAAAUAUAUAGCAAAGAGAGAGCCAAAGACGUCUUCUAGCCCUGCACUUUGCCUCCUACUAGAACCAGUGGGAAGAUGCUCCAGGAAGUUAGCAGAGUCAGUUACAGUUAACUGCAGCUCAGUGUAAGGAAGAAACUCAACAGUGGAGUCAUUUUGAGAGGGAAUAGGUUAUUCUGAAAAGUAGGGAGUUUCCCUUCCCUAUGGGAGUUGAAUCCAAGGUUGGAUCUUUUUUUUUUUUUUUUUUUUUUGAGAUGUGGUUUUCCUAUGUUGCCCAGGCUGGAGUGUACUGGCUAUUCACAGGCAUAAUCACAGCAUAGCACACCCUUGAACUCCUGGGCUCAAGGAUCCUCCCACCUCAGCAUCCUGAGUAGGUGGGACUACAGGUACACGCCACUGCACCUGGCCUGGAUGAUCAUUAUUAAUGAAUGUUUUGUAGAAGGGAUAUAAACAUGAGAUUGGUAGAUGAUCUGAAUGACUUUUAUGUUUGAGAGUAUUUUAUUCCAUACUCACUGUAGCCUUAUGUUCCCAAUUUUAAAUACAUAUAUAUAUACACACAUAUAUAUACACACACAGUUAUAUAUGCUAAUAUGUUACUUAUGACUAAAUAGUAUUUAUUUUUUAUGUUUCUCUAAUAUCAUUUAUAUUAAGAAAUUAAUUAAUCAAAAAAUCAAUCUUUUGUCAGACCAAAAGCUUGAAAACAAAAUAUGGCCUGUAUAACUAUAUUUCAUGGAAAAAAUAAUAAUCCAAACCAUUUCUCAGUGGCGUUUGUUCCUGGUUCCUUUUCCAGUACAUUCAUUCACUCAUGAAAAAUCAUUUUUGGGCUCAAAUGGUAGAGAAAACAAAGCCAAAAUUCUGAGCAGCAGUCCCAACCCUAGGAAGCUGUGUGGUUAUAUUAUCUAACAUCUAAAGGGCUAUUUAACCAUUCUAGGACUUGGUUUUGUCAUUUGUAAAAGGAGUGAAAUAACAGAAGCUGCCUUACAGGAUCGUUGUAAAGAUUAAUGUGUGAAUAUACGUGAGCCACUUAGAACAAUGGCUGGUACAUAGUAAGUACUAUUUGAGUGAUAGCUUUCAUUAUCAUCAUCAUUCAACAACAAUAUUGUUAUUCCAGGCUUGGGGAGCAUAAACACGAAUAGGACAGGACCUCUUUUUCUCUAAAGAUGCAUAGUCCGGCUAGAGAAAGCAUGUAGGUAAACAGUGCAGGAAGGGGAGAGAAUCACUGUAAUGGGGAAAUGUGCUAGCAACUCCAAAUGGGAGAUUGCAGAGAAGGCUGUCAGAGAAAUAGGCUGUUGAGCUGGGUUUUGAUGACUGACAAGGCAUUUUCCAGGUAGAGGAGGGAAAAGUGAUCUGGGCUGAAGGAUGUCACUUUGUGUUUAGCAAUCCUGAGGUUGCCUUAAAUCAGCCUCAAUCACUUCUGUUGAGUAGAAGCCUAUGCUUUCUGUCCUGCCCUGGUUCUUGGCUGCAGGUCACAAAACAUUUCAGUCCAUUCAAGAAUCCUUGAGAGCUCUCCUGGGGACCUCCUGGGCAAUGCAGAGGUCAGACAGCAGAGCCACAUUCUCAGGGAGAGUGGCACAGUCAAGGGAGAAGACAGGUGAAGAGAAUGUUUUCCUGUGAAGGUGGUGAGCUGAUUGCCUUAGAGAGCGUGAGCUCCUGCCUUAGAGAGCAGGUGAACUCUCUCCAAGAAAGCAAAUGGAAACAAGCAAGCAAAACACGUUUCUUUCUCUUGUGUCUACACCCCCAGCCCCCACCACCCAUGAGUAAAGUGUCUUAUCUAGGUCUUACAAUCAGCCUUCCUAUCCAAUAUUCAGAUUUAUCUGAACAUGAGACCCAACGGUAACUCUUGUCCCCCACGGCUCACGUGAUGUAAAGGCUUACCUGGAGGAUCUCGCCUAUUCAUAGCAUCUUUGUCUCCAUGUCCUUAUCAUCAUGUCCUCUUUCGGGAAGCAAAAGAAAAGACCUUUUGCUCAUUUCACUUACUUGAGGAGACUGUUUCAAAUUGCUAUUUCUAUAUGGCAAAUUUUACCUCCACCCUGACUUAACUAGGUGAGGGUAGAAAAUGAGACCUGUGGAACAGAGGAAAAGCGAAUGCAAGGGGAUGAGCGGCAGCAGCAAGAACAUCCUGGACCAUUGGGGUGAGAUCAAUGAAACCCACACUGGAGCCCAGGCCCUGAUGUCCCCUGAGCUCCUCCUCCACAGCCUGUCAACUCCUGUGUCUCUGCAGUCCUAAAUAAACAAGAAGCAGCAGGAGUUGAUUUGGGUUUAGUCAUGGAUGGCUCCCUACUCUCUCUUCGUAUUGAAGCUCAUUUUAUCCAAGAUGUUAUACAGAUGAGGGACUUACUGCUAACCUUGUUCUCAGGGAAGCUCCAAACUAAAGAAUCAAAAAAUAUGAUAAACUUGGGCCAAAAAUCCCAUCCACAGUUAUGGGAAUACCAUGACUGGGCAUAUGAGACACCUGAUUUUCAGCCUAAGGAAGCACCAUCGGCGAGACAUACAGUAUCACAAUCUGGCUAUAUUUUAUGCUCCCUUUCCAUCAGUCUGGGAUAAAUUGUGUGUGUCAAGUUCGGCAAGCAUGGGUGAGCUAAAUGGAGCUGUUAGCUGUCUUUUCAACAUAUUUAUCUGUUUCAUUGCCUACUCUAGGAUGUCUUUGUGAUCAUUAUAUAGGGAUCACAGAUAAUAGACUAUUUGAAAUCUUACUUCAAUUAAAACUUAAUCCUCAGAUGUCAAUAACAGUGUUUUAUACAUAAGGUUACAAUAAAAACAAUGUCUUUUGUGCAUAUCAUUAAAACAACAACAGAAAAUCAAGAAUAAGAAAUGGCCUGAACAUUUUCUAAAACAAGAUGCUCUACUAUGUCGUGUACCUUGUCACUGUGAUAAAAUUAUGGUUAUUUCAAUAUCUAUGCAACUUGACAAAGUCACACAGGAUUUAUAAGAAAAAAAAUC
rnacentral:lncRNA from 10 species